GAGAAGCAAUGCGGCGACGCAAAGCGGAACUUGAAAGCCUGUCUCAGUUCGGAUUGGAGUCUGCAACUCGACUCCAUGAAGCUGGAUUCGCUAGUAAUCGCGCAUCAGCCAUGGCGCGGUGAAUACGUUCCCGGGCCUUGUACACACCGCCCGUCAAGCCAUGGGAGCCGGGGGUGCUUGAAGUGCGUCGCCGCAAGGCGCGCCCUAGAGCAAAACCGGUGACUGGGGCUAAGUCGUAACAAGGUAAC
rnacentral:rRNA from 1 species